rnacentral:rRNA from 1 species
UACGGGGGGGGCAAGCGUUGUUCGGAAUUACUGGGCGUAAAGUGUGCGCAGGCGGCCGAGCAAGUCGAGUGUGAAAGCCCCGGGCUUAACUUGGGAAUUGCGCUCGAAACUACUUUGCUGGAGUGUGGCAGAGGAAGGUGGAAUUCCACGUGUAGCGGUGAAAUGCGUAGAGAUGUGGAGGAACACCAAUGGCGAAGGCAGCCUUCUGGGCCAACACUGACGCUCAUGCACGAAAGCGUGGGGAGCAAACAGG